rnacentral:rRNA from 1 species
UGGGGAAUUUUGGACAAUGGGCGAAAGCCUGAUCCAGCAAUGCCGCGUGUGUGAAGAAGGCCUUCGGGUUGUAAAGCACUUUUUGUCCGGAAAGAAAUCCUUGGCUCUAAUACAGUCGGGGGAUGACGGUACCGGAAGAAUAAGCACCGGCUAACUACGUGCCAGCAGCCGCGGUAAUACGUAGGGUGCAAGCGUUAAUCGGAAUUACUGGGCGUAAAGCGUGCGCAGGCGGUUUGCUAAGACCGAUGUGAAAUCCCCGGGCUCAACCUGGGAACUGCAUUGGUGACUGGCAGGCUAGAGUAUGGCAGAGGGGGGUAGAAUUCCACGUGUAGCAGUGAAAUGCGUAGAGAUGUGGAGGAAUACCGAUGGCGAAGGCAGCCCCCUGGGCCAAUACUGACGCUCAUGCACGAAAGCGUGGGGAGCAAACAGGAUUAGAUACCCUGGUAGUCCACGCCCUAAACGAUGUCAACUAGUUGUUGGGGAUUCAUUUCCUUAGUAACGUAGCUAACGCGUGAAGUUGACCGCCUGGGGAGUACGGUCGCAAGAUUAAAACUUAAAUGAAUUGACGGGGUCAUAGCUGUUUCCU